rnacentral:tRNA from 1 species
GCGGUGGUAGUUCAGUUGGUAGAACGUCUGCUUCCCAAGCAGAAGGUCAGGGGUUCAACUCCCCUCCACCGCU